UACGAAGGGUGCAAGCGUUACUCGGAAUUACUGGGCGUAAAGGGCUCGUAGGUGGCCAACUAAGUCAGACGUGAAAUCCCUCAGCUUAACUGGGGAACUGCGUCUGAUACUGGAUGGCUUGAGUUUGGGAGAGGGAUGCGGAAUUCCAGGUGUAGCGGUGAAAUGCGUAGAUAUCUGGAGGAACACCGGUGGCGAAGGCGGCAUCCUGGACCAACACUGACACUGAGGAGCGAAAGCCAGGGGAGCAAACGGG
rnacentral:rRNA from 1 species